CCUGACCUCAGGUGAUCCACCCGCUUCGGCCUCCCAAAGUGCUGGGAUUACAGGCGUGAGCCACCGUGCCCGCCCCAUACCACUCUUUCUUGAACACUCUGACUGUCCCUGGCCCCUACUCAGGGACUAAACCUUACCCUUUCAAGGCUUGCUUUUAUGCCCUGGCCAUCCACAACUUCUCUAGCCUUGAAGCCUUCCCCUCAAGGAACUUGGUCUAGUGGGAGUCUGACUCUCACGGGUCAUGAAUGCGGCUAAAACAAAGUGCCCCACGAGCUCAAGAGAGGUACCAUGAACUGACAGGGGCAGACUGACGCUCCCCAAACGGUCUGACGGUGACCCUUGUGGAGCUGUCUCGCAAUCAGAAAAAGGAAGGGAGGCAAAUUAUUCCGAAAUCAGACUAUGAGCAAACCUGGAGGCUGGAAAGAAAGCAAUCAGGGUGGCGGAGCCUUUGGGGGUGCAAUGAAGGCCCGAUUCAUCAGGGGCUUUGAAUUAAGUUUAACCCUGCUAGCGAUCUAAUAAAGGUUGGCAUGAUUUGACUUAAUUUUUAUUUUGUUUUAUAAAAGUUGACUCUUCGUUUUUCAUUGUCGCUACAGCACAAACUCCACAAAGAAGUAAUUCCACCCGGUGACUUCCCCACUGGCACUAAUAUGGUGUCCUCCCUCUAAGGAGCCCGAGACACUUCCGCCCUUCUCAGAAGUGACUUCCGUCCAGCUCGGCAUGGCGGCAGUCACUGCCGUCACUUAGUCGCCGAUCAAGGCUUGGACUAAGGGCCCACGGUCACUCGAGUAGGACUUGGAUCGGAUGCUGAAUAAAACUCACCGUGAAGCAAGUCCCACUGAACGAAAAGUUGGUCGUAGCAUUUCUCAGCAGCUGCUUCCGGCUCCCUGAGACCCAGCCAUGGAAGGCAUAGAAAGGCAUGUGACAAGAAACUCAUGGCUUUUAAUCCUGGCAGGACAAGGAAAACCCCGUCAAAGAUUUGCAUAAAUUUUGCUGCUCUC
rnacentral:lncRNA from 1 species